rnacentral:rRNA from 1 species
GACAGAGGGUGCAAGCGUUGUUCGGAAUUAUUGGGCGUAAAGGGCGCGUAGGCGGCCUCGCAAGUCAGAUGUGAAAUCCCAGGGCUUAACCCUGGAACUGCAUCUGAUACUGCUUGGCUUGAAUCUCGGAGAGGGUGGUGGAAUUCCUGGUGUAGAGGUGAAAUUCGUAGAUAUCAGGAGGAACACCGGUGGCGAAGGCGACCACCUGGACGAUGAUUGACGCUGAGGCGCGAAAGCGUGGGAAGCAAACAGG